rnacentral:rRNA from 1 species
UACGUAGGGUGCAAGCGUUGUCCGGAAUUAUUGGGCGUAAAGAGCUCGUAGGCGGUCUGUCGCGUCGGCUGUGAAAACCCGGAGCUCAACUCCGGGCCUGCAGUCGAUACGGGCAGACUGGAGUUCGGCAGGGGAGACUGGAAUUCCUGGUGUAGCGGUGAAAUGCGCAGAUAUCAGGAGGAACACCGGUGGCGAAGGCGGGUCUCUGGGCCGAUACUGACGCUGAGGAGCGAAAGCGUGGGGAGCGAACAGGAUUAGAACCUAC